GGAUGAUAAGGAAGAGGGAGAGAGAUGGAAGAGGGGGAUGGAAAAUGGAAGUCUGUAAUAGAAAGUGGUACCUUGGUUAGGUUUGUAACAAAAAAUUAUUACUGGUUUGUUAUUUUUCGAAAAUUGAGUGACUGAAUUGAAACUUGAGUGACUGUUUUGUCAGCUACCUCAAAGUUGAGUGAUUGUUGGUGUAAUUUACC
rnacentral:lncRNA from 1 species